UACGUAGGGCGCAAGCGUUGUCCGGAAUUAUUGGGCGUAAAGAGCUCGUAGGCGGCCAGUUGCGUCUGCUGUGAAAUCCCGGGGCUCAACCCCGGGCGUGCAGUGGAUACGGGCUGGCUGGAGGCAGGCAGGGGAGAACGGAAUUCCUGGUGUAGCGGUGAAAUGCGCAGAUAUCAGGAGGAACACCGGUGGCGAAGGCGGUUCUCUGGGCCUGUACUGACGCUGAGGAGCGAAAGCGUGGGGAGCGAACAGG
rnacentral:rRNA from 1 species